ensembl:lncRNA
GAAAGAGAUUCACCUAAGCAAGAACAAAGAAAGCACUCUAUUGUGGAGAACCCGUCACAUCCUGCAAGUGAAAUCCUGGAAAAUUGGCCUGCUCUUCGAAUGGAGUCACAAAUUUCUGAAUUGCUAAGGAACAUCUUCAGGACCUAUGGUCUCCUUGAAGACAUAGAUGUCAACAGCAGACAGAAAAUUACUCUGCAGGCCCUUCCCAUCUUCCUGCGGGAAGAUGCUGCUGGAUUUUUUAAGAACAGGAACAUACGCAUUUAAUUCAACUGUGUGUCCUUCUAUUUAACCCUCUUUGAUACUACCUUGCAACCAAAGAGGAGUGAUAACUUAAGAAUAUCAACUCCAUUUCCAGCGUCAAUUUUGUUAGUUUUAACAAUGGAUUCAAAAUGAUCAAGUUCAUUGAACUUAUCCAAAAUUUAAAUAGCGAUUACUUCAAAUGUUUGUUUGUCAAUUUAUUAUGUUUCAAUUCAUCAACUUCCUCAAAGAAAAUGAGUGUGAAUAAGUUGUCUAGUUUAGAGUAGUAAAUACUUAAAAUGUUUGUUUGUUGAAAUUAUUUGUUUUGAUUGAACAUGAUCACGUUCUCCUCGCUGUGCUCACUCUGAAUCAGUACUUGAUCAUGCGUGGAAUUAAGGAUGUUGGUUUUUCCCCAGAGAGAAGACGGUGGUCGAAUUAACUAAUAAAAUCGAUAUUUUACAAAUCAUUUUUUAGGAUGUCAGAACCAAAACACUAAUUGAUGAUGCAGGCCUAAAACAUAAUGAGUCCUACACCAAUGGUGACCCCAAUCUACAGACAUUGAAGCUAAUUUGAUUUACUGAUUGCUGUCGGG